rnacentral:rRNA from 1 species
GUGAGGAAUUUUCCGCAAUGGGCGAAAGUCUGACGGAGCAAUGCCGCGUGAAGGAUGAAGGCCUAUGGGUUGUAAACUUCUUUUCUUAGAGAAGAAUAUUGACGGUAUCUGAGGAAUAAGCAUCGGCUAACUCUGUGCCAGCAGCCGCGGUAAGACAGAGGAUGCAAGCGUUAUCCGGAAUGAUUGGGCGUAAAGCGUCUGUAGGUGGCUUCAAAAGUCUCCUGUCAAAGAUCAGGGCUUAACCCUGGGCCGGCAGGAGAAACUCUGAGGCUAGAGUUUGGUAGGGGCAGAGGGAAUUCCCGGUGGAGCGGUGAAAUGCGUAGAGAUCGGGAGGAACACCAAAGGCGAAAGCACUCUGCUGGGCCACAACUGACACUGAGAGACGAAAGCGAGGGGAGCAAAAGGGAUUAGAAACCCGAGUAGUCC